GGGCAAGGGCUUGAGGGGCUUCUCCUCCAGACACACGCGGCAAGUCAGCACCAGCAAGGGCCCGAAGUCCCCGGAGAUGAGCCCGGAGAACGGCUCGGGCAGCAGUAAGAAAGAGGAAAUUAUUCCUGCUACUGAACCAAAGAGUUCCUCGUGAUGGAAGAAGGAAAUCCUGUUGAGAAGCAUGAAGAAGGGAAACAAGAAUGUGGCUAUUUACUCAUUUUUCUAGAUGCCCACCCCUAACAAGCCCAUUUCCUGAAAUGCUAUUUCUCUUGAGAGCCAUUACAUGGGUCAGAAGUGCACUGAAUCCACUGGAAGCAGUUUUCUGAACAUGCAACUAGAAGCUGUCGGAGGCACGCCCAGAGAAAGCAAUAAGGCUUUUUAUUUCAGGUCUGCUGCCCCACAGCUCCUCCUGUCUUUAAGCUUCGUGUGGGCUUCAGUCCAAGACCAAGUGCUUUACAACUGCCAUAUUUUGGCAAUCCUUAGAGCCAAGAAAAGCUGCUUUCUCAAGCACCUUGAAAGCCCCCAAACA